rnacentral:rRNA from 1 species
CGCUUUCCGAGGGAARRRRGAGGACGUACUCGGGAAUAAGUCUCGCUAACUACGUGCAGCAGCCGCGGUAACMCSUAAGAAGACGAGCGUWUCCGAUUUAUUGGGSGUAAARAGCAUGUAGGCGGGCUCUAAGUCGGAUGUGAAAUCUCUGGCUUAACCGGGAGGGGCCAUUCGAUACUGGGAGUCUGAGGGCAGGAGAGGGAGCAGAAUUCCCGGUGUAGUGGUGGAAUACGUAGAUAUCGGGAGGAAUACCAGUGGCGAAAGCGGCUUCCUGGCCUGUGCCUGACGCUGAGAUGCGAAAGCGUGGGUAGCAAACGGGAUUAGAUACCCCGGUAGUCCACGCCCUAAACGAUGGAUACUAGGUGUUGGUGGUCUUUACCCCACCAGUGCCGAAGCAAACGCGAUAAGUAUCCCGCCUGAGGACUACGGUCGCAAGACUAAAACUCAAAGGAAUUGACGGGGACCCGCACAAGCAGCGGAGCGUGUGGUUUAAUUCGAGGCUACACGAAGAACCUUACCUGGGUUUGACAUGCUGGUGGUAGCGACGCGAAAGCCGAGCGACCCUUCGGGGAGCCAGCACAGGUGCUGCAUGGUUGUCGUCAGCUCGUGCCGUGAGGUGUUAGGUUAAGUCCUGCAACGAGCGCAACCCCUUCCGUUAGUUAAAUCUUUCUAGCGGGACCGCCGGGGUAACCCGGAGGAAGGUGGGGAUGACGUCAAAUCAGCAUGGCCUUUAUAUCCAGGGCUACACACACGYUACAAUGGUYGGCACAGUGGGCUGCAAUACCGCGAGGUGGAGCCAAUCCUCAAAGCCGGCCCCAGUUCAGAUUGGAGGCUGCAACCCGCCUCCAUGAAGUCGGAGUUGCUAGUAACCGCAGGUCAGCUAUACUGCGGUGAAUACGUUCCCGGGUCUUGUACACACCGCCCGUCACGUCAUGGAAGUCGGUAACACCUGAAGCCGGCAGGCUAACCGUAAGGGGGCAGCUGGAUGACCAGGG